rnacentral:lncRNA from 1 species
AUGUCGUCUGUUUUGCUGUUAAUAUUUUUCUAUGUGGUCCUGUUUUAUGCGAUCCGUGCCACAUUCUCCCUUCUGCUGUAUAUCAGGUCGGAGAGCUUGUUAAAGACUGUGUUUGGAUUUUUUAGUUCACUGUGCUGUAAAGCACAGGCCUUGAGCCUGAUCUGGUAUUCAGGCCCUGCAUUGCUAUCAUUCCUAUCCCCUGGAAACUAUCUCUUUGAGAAUGUUAAAAACUACACUCUCUUCUUUUCCUCCUCUGGAAGUCAGUUUGUGGACAAUAUCAGGAAUGGUACCUCCUUCUUCUUUUCCUGUGGGCUAAUUACAGCAGAUUUUGAGUACUUUGAAUAUCCAUGGGUAAUCAACAUGCUCCUAUUGCUAGGUCUGCAGAAUGUAUUUUCUUUUCUUUUCUUUUCUUUUCUUUUCUUUUCUUUUCUUUUCUUUUCUUUUCUUUUCUUUUCUUUUCUUUUCUUUUCUUUUCUUUUCUUUUCUCCUAAGGUUAAACAAUUAGUUAAGAAUAGCACCCAGGAAUCUGCCCUGAGACUGUGUGGUGGUGGGUUGCAAGGUGUAUGGGAGGAUAUGGGCAGGUACCUGUCACGGUUGUCUCCUCCAAUGGUUUUGCACUUCACCUCUGAACAAAUGCCAAAUCCUAAAAAAACGAUAGAAUGUUUGAAAGAUGUAUGCCCUGACCCUGGCAGUGCCAGAGAACUCCAGCUUGCUGCACUGUGCUGGGGCCUGGCCUGUGCCUAUCAAAUGGUAGUUAACACUACUCAGCACCCUCAAGGGGAGGAAGAGGUCUCUGAAUCUGAUGAUCAGAUAACACACACUGUGGCUAACCCAGAGGACCAACCAUCAGUGGUAUCAGUCACCCUCAUAGUCAAAACAAAACAAUGGAAGCAGAAGUCAGCUCAUUUAGUAAGGGAAGAAGCUCCUCCUGAGAAGUCCCAGGAGGGAGAAGUGGAAGGGGCAGGGAGCUCUAAAGCAGAGCCAUCACAAAAACAGGAGGAAGAAGAGACGGAAAUCAUAAAUGAGUCAGAAACCACCCGAUCCCCAUCCCUGAGUGAGUUGCGAGAUAUACAAAGGGAUUUCAGUCGUCACCCAAGUGAGCACAUUCUCACCUGGCUGCUUCGAUUCUGGGACACUGGGGCCGGUAGCCAGGAACUAAGAGGCAAGGAAGCCAAGGGGCUGGGAUCCCUCUCUAGGGAAAGGGUCAUUGACAUAUGGGAUUUUCCAUACCAUGUGAUGUCACAGUCAGCAAUAAAAGGUGGGAAAGGGGAAAGGGGCUCUCAUUAUGAAGACCUCUGUCCUCCCAAACAACCGCUACAUGUAUUGAGGCCCUGCUUCCCGGGUUGUGGACGAACAUCCCUCGUUAAUGGGAAGUAG